rnacentral:lncRNA from 1 species
AUGCUGUAUAUAUACUCGUUGGAAAAGAAUACUAUCCUACACUUACGCGGAUGCCCUGAAAACAAUUGUGGUUACCUCGCAGAGAACACCCGGCCUUGCAGCAAUGCCUGGUGGCUUUGGCAUUGGAUCUUCAGGGGAGCAAAUGGACAGAAGGUAGUGGGCAGAGUGCUGGGUCAGCAGGCAGGUGGCCAUGGUGCAGAAACCUUCCCAGGGGCCGGCCACACUCAGGUCAAGGAAGAUGUGGAGUUUGGAAGCACCAGGAUUCUGUGUGAUCGGAAUCAUUCAUUCAUUCAGCAGGCACUGAGUUGGAGCACAAGGGGACAGUGGAGUCCAGAAAACUAAGAUGUCCUCACCCAGCAGUUUAUGCUUCAGCAGAGAACAUAGAAAUUAAGCAACUACACAAAUAAUUAUUCAGUCACAAAUGUAGAACUUAAAUUCUCCCUUCUCUAUGACGUCAUUCAUUUUUUCCCCUCUACCCUUUCAUUCCUACCAGCCUACAAAUGUACCAUAAUUUCUCCCAUUUUAAAAAAAAUCCACUUUAAUCCUGCAUCUCCCUCUAGCCAUCAUAACAUUUCUCAGCUUCCCCUUUUGGCCAAGCUAUUCACAAGAGUCAUCUGUAUUUCCUGUCUUCAAUAUCUGUCCUUCUGUUCCCAUCAACCCCACCCCAAUCCUUCUGUCUCCUCCACAAUUCACUUGAAGCUGUCCUUUCAAGCUCCUCGAGGACAUCCACAUUGCUUGAUCUACUGAGCCAUUCUUGGUCCUGAGCUUAUCCACAUGCAGCUUUUAGGUGAGCAUGACAUGGUGUUAAAGACCAAGAACUCUGAGCCAGACUGAGUUCCAAUCCCAGCUCCAGUAGUGUGAACUAUGUGACUGAGUAAGUUCAUCUGCAAAAUAGACAUAAUAAAAGAACGUACCUGUUAGGAAGACUAUCA